CAGCUAGCCAGUGAUGGCAUGCGAAUCUCGAAAGCCUGUCUCAGUUCGGAUUGGAGGCUGAAACCCGCCUCCAUGAAGUUGGAUUCGCUAGUAAUCGCGCAUCAGCCAUGGCGCGGUGAAUACGUUCCCGGGCCUUGUACACACCGCCCGUCAAGCCAUGGGAGCCGGGGGUGCCUGAAGUUCGUUACCGCAAGGAUCGACCUAGGGCAAAACUGGUGACUGGGGCUAAGUCGUAACAAGGUAGC
rnacentral:rRNA from 1 species